AGUCCCUGUAGUAUAUUAAUUAUUCUGGUCU
rnacentral:tRNA from 1 species